UUAAUUUUUACUCUUUUUGUUUUCUCAUGUGUGAAUUUACUGAAGGGACAAUUGAUUGGAAAUUUGAAGUCCAUUAAAUUGUUGCAUGGAAUCAAGAAAAUCUAAUUUGCUGGACUUGAUUGUUAUUGGGAAAAAUCACAGGUAAAGGUCAUGUGAAGGAAAUGAUCGGGAUAGAGGAUAAUUGAGUCGGUUUUAAUCAGAACAAAGAUUAUUCGAUAAAAUCGUUCUAAUUAUUGGUAUUGAUUUGAAUGAUAUUUGUUUUAAUUGUUGUUGUCUAAUGGAAUAAUUUAAUUAUCACAAUUUAGAAGGUAAGAGUUUAUUGAUUGUUAUUCUCUGUUUGGUUGAUGUUUGCAAUGAUUAUCAAUCAGUAGAAAAUAUUAAUCUUAUUGGAUAAUCGUCAUGUUUAUCUUUUGGGAUAAAAAUUCACUGAGCCAAAGAUAAAUGUUAUAGUUAAUUGUGGCUCAUCAAUCAACAAUCAGUUACAACAAUUAACUGUUCCAUUUCUAAUUGGGGUUACAAUACAAGGAUAAUGUAUCAGUUUAACAAUCAAAACUGGUUAACCUUUUGUGAAAAUUUUUUCUGUGAUUCUAAUUGUGUAUAUUGGGAUAUUUUUGAUCUUAAAUCUGUAAGUAUCAUUGAUAAUUAUCAUUGACAUUUAUUGUUGUUUUUAUGCAAACAAUUGGCUACAUGUUUUGACUGUUAAUUGUGUAAUCAGUCAAUUGUAAAUUGAUUCACUGGUUAACCAAUACAAUUGUAUCAUAAAAAAAACGAUAAAUUGUUGAUCGGUUGAUUUGUUGACCGAUUUUUGUGGCUCAAUUCAAUUGUGAAUCGUUAUUGUGAUUAUAUUGACAAACUUUUUCCAGAUUCAAGAUUAAGAUUAUGAUUAACAUGUAAAUCAGAUUUUAAUUAAGUUUAUUCAACUUUAACCUUUGUUAUUGUUAAAAUGAAAAAGUAUUAAUUACUUGCUGAGUGAUGAUUGUUAACUAAAACAAUUAAGACCGGCCAAUAGUUAAUUGUAAGUGUAACAACAACAACAACAGAAAUUCAAGUCUCACCAGUUAAUUGUGAAUCCUUUUCAUCUUUAAUCAUCGUUUUUCAAUCAACUCACCCAAGUGACAUAAUUAACAUUACCAGUUAACAAUUAUAAUCCAAGUGACCAACACCCAAUGGAAAAGGUUAACAAUCAGUUAAUUUAGUUUCUCACUUUUGAUACAAAUGAUCAAAUGUCCCCACCCAAGUAUAAGAUUUAAUUGCUUUCUUAACUUUUAACAAUUACAAUUACAAUCUCUUCCUUAACUCACCUUUACAAUAUAUUAAUCAGUUGAUUGCAAAAAAACAUUUUAACCCAAAAUUUUAAUGGUUAAUAUUAAUAGAUUAAUGAAUCAAUUUCUCGAUUGAUUAAAUCAUAUGUUCAACAAUUUAAACUUCACCUUUUAAUAAUCCAUUGCAUAGUAAUUAAAUUAUCAAUAAUCUGAUUCUUUAAAAGUGAUUAACUUAAAUGUCAAUCAUUUAGUUUAUUCAUAAAACGCAAAUAUUAACCAAUAAUUUGAUUGAUUUAGUUAAGCUAAUUGUUACAAUUUGUAAUUCAAUCCAUCAAAAUAAUGAUUAUAAACAAAAGGUUAAGAUAAUCAAUAUUCAUAAAAACCAAGGUAAAUAAAUUGUGAGAAACAAUAUUUAAUUGUUAAUCCAUAAUCAUGAUGAUCAUGAACAUUAUCAUGAAAAUUUCUCAAUAUUAACUGUUGAAAGUUAUUAUUAAAUCACAAUCAAAGUCGCUGAUCAUAAUCAUUAUCAUCAUGAAAUAAUUUCCAUCACAUUAUCAACCUAGUGAUCGGGAAGAUGAUUUAAUUGAUGAUCAUGAUGAAGAUGAAAAAAUUGUUAAGAUAAUUGAUAAACUAUCAUGUUAGUUUCAUCCAUUUCCAACAUGUUCAGUUUUCUCAUGAUUAUCACCAAUUCCCUGAGCUGAAAAUGUAAAAAGAACCCAAAUUGAAAAUCAAUUAUCUCCUUGAGUCCAGAACUUUAUCUGAAUUUCUAUCAACGAACCAAUAGAUUUGCUAUUCCAUCAAAAUCUUUACUUUGUUAUACUCUAAUUCCUGAUUGAAAUGAUCAACUUCUUUCAUUACUAUGAUUAAAUUAAUAGAAUCAAGGUUAACUAAUUAAUAGAAACUACUAAUAUGUUAUAAUGAAUGAAGACCUUUUCGUCUGAAUAAAUAAAAUUCAAUAUCACGAAUCAUGAUGAUGAUCAACAUGAAGGUAACUCGCUACUGAUUAUACAAGUUAAGAAUUUUUUUUUCUAUUAAUAUUACUGAUCAUCAUUUUCUUCAUCAUGAUAACAUCAAUAACUGUUAACAAUAACAACUUUUUCUUUGUAGUUUGCAAAGACUGGAAGAGACGAUAAUUCAUUUCUUCAUCAUGCUCAUCAUGGUGAAGAUAAAGAGCUGAUGUUGUUUCAGGUCAAAUGGAAUCGCCCAUCAUUUCAAUUCUCAAAUUGAAUAAAAUAAACAAUCAAUCUUAUCCUUUAGCCUUUCGUACUCUCCCUCACAAUGGUAACAAGCAAAUGGAUCACAAAGUGGCCUCAGUUUGAUGAUUGGAAAUCGAUAUUUUUCAUCAUCUCAUUUUAAAAAUGUCCAUUUCUUGUGUCCACCUGAUUGUAAAUAAUUACACAAACACCAAGAAAACACAAUCAAUUUCAUUGAUUAGAAAGAAAAAAUCAGACCAACAACCCGGUUAUUUAUAGUUAUCAAUACGUUGAUGAACAUCAUGAUGAGGAACUGAACUUUUUUCUGCUCUUUCUUCAUCUCAAAUCUACAAUUUAGAUUAUUUUUUCUUAUUCUCAUGUCUUGAGCUGAUUUAAGGGCGAAAAUGAGCUUCGUUAUGCUUACUCAAAGAUCUCAUCUGAUUCAGUUAAAUGUCGAUCGCCGAUUCAUUCGUGAUUUAAUUAGAAACAUUUUCCUUAAUAUCUCAAUCAAAGUUCAGCUCAAUUAGCUGUCACACGAAAUUUAUCGCAAUCUCCAUCAGCAAUUAUCAUUAAAUGAUUAAGUUCAGCAAAAGAAUCAUCAUGAAGGACCCAGAAUUUUAUUCCUAAAAGUUGAGAUUCUCCAUGAAACAUUAGAACCCUGAAGAAAUCAAUAGUUCCCUGGCUCUCUGUUCAAAAGGUUCCAAUGUGCUUUUGCGUUGUAUUAACCUUUUCUAUUCCCGAGUUUUCAUCUUCCUCAUCAUCAUGGAGUUAACAAUAGAAUCCAGGAUUCUCCUGAACUAAUAUUCUCUUUUCUUUUCUUUUCUCUUCCUCAUCUUCUGGUUUUUCGUAGACUUUUCUCUCUACUGGUUCUCUUUCUCCUUUCUUCAUGAACAAAAAAGUAGGAAGAUGAGGAUGAUGACGAAAGAGAAAAAAAUGUGUUACAAGAAUAAGUUACGAUGAUGAGGAUGAAAAAAGAUAUUGAUCUUUGAUGGAAUCGAGUGUGAAAUUCAUUGUAACAUUUUUUUCUCUCACUAAUCUUAUUCUUACCAUGAUAAUUUAAUCAGUUCACCGAUCUUUCAUCGUCAUCAUCAUCAUUAACAUUCAGCCUAAUCACCGUUAAAUUUUUGUCUUCACUUACGUUCAUUAACAAGUUCAUUUAACAUGAUAAUCAAAAAUUCAUAGAGAAAAAAAAAUUGAGCAAAAAAUGAACAACACUUUCCAUUCAGAUCCUGAUGAUUCAACUUAUUCACCAUGAUGAUUUUUUUGAAUUUACAAUAUUAUCACAUUAUUUAUAUUCAUAUUGGUCACUUGCAAAUGCAAGGUCAUCAUGAACUGAAUUAUAUUAUCACCAUUUGAUUUAAAUAAUGUAAAUAUAUUGUUAUGUAAAUUGUUUUUUUUUCUCAGCAAUCAGAUUGGAGAUUGAAAUCAAAUCAAUAACUGAAUUUGAUUCCUUGACUCUUGGUGUUUACUCAAGGAGAUCCAAGGAGAGUUUUUUUGUUUGCUAUUUAUUUGUUGGUGGAAAAUUAUCAAUAAUGAUUAUCCAGAAUUGACUCAAUGAUUGACAGUUUUUCUUUUAAAUUCAAUUCUCAUGGUGAAAUGAGAUAAAAUUUCACUUGAAAUUGAACUUUUACCUUAUCAUUUGUUGGUGUCCAUUUGGUGAUUCAUUGGCUGUCAAUUGUUUCAUCAUCAUGAAUAUUGUAUUAGAUUAUCAUGUUAACUAUUAUUAUGGAACAUGAGUUGAAAUUUAAGAUUCUAAAUGAUCAUGGGGACGAUUGAAAAGGCGAUCGAUUAACUUGAUGAAUUGAUGUAUCAUGAUGAUCAUCAGGGAGGAGAAAAUGCUUCAAUUUUGUUGAAGAAGAAGAAAAAAAAUCCCUUCCAGAAUCAUUAUCGUUUUCUGAAUAAUAUGGAAUCCAGAAUUUUGUGAUUCUCUAUUAUGAUAUAUAUUAUGUUUCCAUGAAUUCUUGUCAGGGAACUUUUUCUCUUUCUCUCUCUGCUUCCCUGAACUCUGACUCUCAACAUCAUCAUGGUAAAAUAUACUAUCCGGCUCUGACUGAGUUUUCUGGGUCAUAAGUAAUAAUAUUAUCAUGUUAAUAUCAAUUGUUAUUUCAUUUUCUGUCUGUUUAGAUUACUGUCCAGUUUCCAGUUGAUGGAAUCAGACUACUGACCACUGAAUUGAAUUUCCUACGAUUUCUCAUUCUUGAAACCAUGAUGAUGAUAAAUUCCAACCAUUGGUAAAACCAGAUACUCGGAUUAACACAACAAUUAAAAUUGAUUGUAAUUCAAUUGUGAAUUUCUCAAUCACAAUGUUCCAAAUGUAACUAAUAACAUUGAGUGAGAAAAUAUCUCUCUUCAAUUUAUUCCUGAAUCCAGGGAAUUGGAUCACAUUCUGAUCAUGAUGAUAUUCAAAUAUUCAGGUUUCCAUCUUUGAUUCAUUAGAUUCAUCAUAGUGAUCAUCAGGAACUCUCCUCCAUCAUCAUGAUUCAGAUUCAAUUUUCUCCAUCUCUUUUGUCAUUAUCAACAUCGUCUUAAUAUCAUUAACAAAGUAAUGACUUCGUAUCACUAAUGAUUGGACAAUUUUCCCCUGAAAUGUAAAUAUUACAUGGAAAUGGUUUAUUAUUGUCACCAUAGAAAGGAAACCAAGAUGAAAUAAAGAGAUAAAACUUUCUCGAGAA